AUGGGCACUGACUUAUGUCCCAAUAACCUUUGGCAAUAUUACUCUUGGUGUUAUAUCUAUCUUCCUGAUGGUGCUAAAUUCUAUACAUUUGGUCUUGCUGCCAUCUGCUGGGCAGUAUGGAACUAUCGUAACAGAGCAACCUUUGAGUUUAAGCAUCCUAAAACUCCAUUUGAGAUUGUGUUUUCCGCUUGUGUCUUCAUCACCUACUGGGCAGGUCUCUUGAAGGGGGCAGAUCGUGAGGCGAUGGAGCGUGGGUCGCAGAUGCUGAGGACCAGCACAAGCAACAUGAUGAUGAUCUGUGCCGCUGCGACUAAAGAUUCGGCGACGACUUAA
rnacentral:rRNA from 1 species